CCGAUGGAGGGGGAUAACUACUGGAAACGGUAGCUAAUACCGCAUAACGUCGCAAGACCAAGGGGGGGAACCUACGGGCUCCUUGCCAUCGGAUGUGCCCAGAUGGGAUUAGCUAGUAGGUGGGGUAACGGCUCACCUAGGCGACGAUCCCUAGCUGGUCUGAGAGGAUGACCAGCCACACUGGAACUGAGACACGGUCCAG
rnacentral:rRNA from 1 species